rnacentral:tRNA from 3 species
UCCUCAGUAGCUCAGUUGGUUAGAGCAUCUGACUGUUAAUCAGAGGGUCGCUGGUUCGAGCCCAGCCUGAGGAGCAA